CACACCUGAAAUCCCAGCACUUUUGGGAGGCCAAGGCGGGCGGAUCACGAGGUCAGGAGAUCGAGACCAUCCUGGCUAACACAGUGAAACCCCGUCUUUACUAAAAAUGCAAAAAAAUUAGCCGGGCGUGGUGGCGGGCGCCUGUAGUCCCAGCUACUCGGGAGGCUGAGGGAAGACAAUGGCGUGAACCCGGGAGGUGGAGCUUGCAGUGAGCCGAGAUCCCGCCACUGCACUCCAGCCUGGGCGACAGAGCAAGACUGUCUCAAAAAAAAAAAAAAAAAAAGUGAACUUCCAGCUUGAGCACUUCCUCUACCUGCACUAUCUCUAAUUAUAGUGGGAUAGGCAACUCCUCCUGUCCAGCUUCAUUUAUCUGCUUUGCAGUUUAAGAUCUGACUUGCUCAUUUCUACAGUUUUGGUCUCCCAUGUCUGGAGACAAACCAAAAAGAAGAAAAUCAGAAAGUGCAGUUGACAGAAGGGUCACGUUCACACUACAAUAUCAAUUGCAACUCAACAAGGACUCCAGUCGCCAAGGAGCUUAAUUAUAAUCUAGACACUCAUACGUCUACUGGGAGGAUCAAGGCAGCUGAGAAGAAGGAAGCGUGUAAUGUAGAAAGCAACAGAAAAAAGGAAACGGAACUUCUUGGCUCUUUUUCUAAAAAUGAAUCAGUUCCCGAAGUUGAAGCCCUGCUGGCAAGAUUACGAGCUUUAUAAGUUAAACUGGUUUUUAAAAAAAAUGAUUAAGCCAAAUAUAAAGCCAUGCUCUAAACUAUAACACUUGAAAAAAUUGCUUUUAUGUAAGUGACUUUAUAUAGUUUUAAAUUAUGAUAUAUAUUAGAAAAAUAAAGCUAAAUAUAUGAUU
rnacentral:lncRNA from 10 species